rnacentral:rRNA from 1 species
AUGGCUUCAAGGGCGAUCAUUAGGAGAAGGAAGCGUCUUUUGGAUAAUGUUAACACACCUAUCCUGUCAUCCUCCUUCUCUACUUUCCAGCAUGGGGCAUUUGGUUUCAAGGCUCAGCCAAGAAUAGCGCAGCAAUUUCUCGAGCAAAGCUUAGGGGACUCAAAAUCUGACAAGGAGAAAGAGCAGUAUAGUGUGAAUUUGACAAAGGGUGGUCUGCUAGGUCUUGGUAAUGGGUUUCCGCAGCGACCAGCUCAUGUGAUUUCUCUCCAUGGUUAUGGAAUUGGAAGAAGUAAUGAAUUUGCAUUGCCUUUUGGAGCUAGAGGUUUGUUGCAGUCAGUCCGCAGAGCAUCAACUGCAACUGCUGGGCAACCUAAGUUGGAUAUCGAAGAAGAACAGAGUGAGGAUCAGAAGCAGAAUAAAAAGAAAAAGGAGGCAUCCCCAGAAGAAUGUGACCAGGCUGUGGAAGGCCUAAGCACAGCAAAAGCUAAAGCCAAAGCCAAGCAGGUGCAAGAAUCUCUAAAGGCUAGCCGAUCAAUCGUACAAAAAUUCUGGGCAAGGCUUCUGGGUAUUGGCCCUGCUCUCCGAGCUAUUGCUUCAAUGAGUAGAGCUGACUGGGCUGUAAAGCUGAAGCAUGGGAAGGAUGAAUUUAUUUCUACACUGCAGCAUUACUGGUUAGGAACAAAGCUACUCUGGGCAGAUGUUAGGAUUUCAUCAAGAUUGCUGGUGAAGCUUGCUGGUGGAAAGAGCCUGUCAAGGAGAGAGAGGCAACAACUCACCCGUACAACAGCUGAUAUCUUCAGGCUGGUACCUGUUGCUGUGUUUAUCGUUGUUCCGUUCAUGGAAUUCUUAUUGCCGGUGUUUCUCAAGUUGUUUCCAAACAUGCUGCCAUCCACUUUUCAAGACAAGAUGAAAGAAGAGGAAGCGUUGAAAAGGAAACUGAAAGCAAGGAUGGAGUAUGCAAAGUUUCUGCAAGAUACUGCAAAAGAAAUGGCAAAGGAAGUCCAAACAUCACGUAGUGGAGAAACUAAACAGACCGCUGAAGAUCUGGACGAAUUUUUAAACAAGGUAAGGAAAGGUGAACGUGUAUCCAAUGAUGAAAUCUUGAACUUCGCGAAGCUGUUUAAUGAUGAACUGACUUUGGAUAACAUGAGCAGACCACGCUUGGUAAAUAUGUGCAAAUAUAUGGGUAUUCGGCCUUUUGGUACGGACCAUUACUUGAGGUUCAUGCUUCGCAAAAAACUGCGCGACAUUAAGAAUGAUGAUAAGGUGAUUCAAGCUGAGGGGGUGGAGUCUCUUUCUGAAGAGGAGCUCCGGCAAGCCUGCCGUGAACGCGGCCACCUAGGCCUUCUGUCAACGGAAGAAAUGCGUCAACAGCUACGAGACUGGUUGGACCUCUCACUCAACCAUGCUAUGCCAUCGUCCCUUCUCAUACUUUCAAGAGCUUUUAUCGUAUCUGGGAGAAUGAAACCUGAGGAGGCUGUUGUAGCAACAUUGUCUUCUCUACCAGAUGAAGUUGUGGAUACAGUUGGUACAGUAUUGCCAUCUGAAGAUUCAGUUUCUGAGAGAAGGAAAAAACUGGAAUUCCUUGAGAUGCAGGAAGAACUUAUCAAGGAGGAAGAGAAGAAGAAAGAGAAAGAAGAAAAGGCAAAACAAAAGAAGGAAGAGAAGGCAAAGCUCAAAGAACCAGAGGCUGAUGAACAAGAUUUAGCUUUAAAGGAAAUGACCGAGCCUACUGCUAGGGAAGAAGAAGAACUGAGAGAAGGAAAACAGCGUGACAAGGAACAACUCUGUAAUAUCAGUCGAGCCUUGGCUGUGCUAGCAUCUGCAUCGUCUGUUAGCAAGGAGCGUCAAGAGUUCCUGAGCCUUGUCAACCAGGAGAUAGGACUGUAUAACUCCAUGAUUGAAAAAGAAGGCACAGAUGGUGAAGAAGCUAAGAGGGCAUAUAUGGCUGCUAGAGAGGAGGCAGACGACGCUGAUGAGGUCGCUGCAGAAGAAAAGGUCUCGUCAGCGCUGAUUGAGAAAGUUGAUGCUAUGCUUCAGGGAUUGGAAAAGGAGAUAGAUGAUGUAGAUGCACAAAUCGGAAACCGCUGGCAACUGCUUGAUAGGGAUCAUGAUGGCAAGGUCACUCCCGAGGAGGUAGCGGCAGCGGCAGCUUAUCUCAAGGAUACCAUAGGAAAGGAAGGUGUCCAAGAGUUCAUCAGCAACCUUUCUAAAGACAAAGAAGGAAAGAUCCUUGUGGAAGACAUCGUGAAGCUGGCUUCUCAAACUGACGAAAACAAUGAAGACCAAGAGGAAGAAUCACGGCAGUAG